rnacentral:rRNA from 1 species
GACGAACGCUGGCGGCGUGCUUAACACAUGCAAGUCGAGCGGUAAGGCCCUUUCGGGGGUACGACGAGCGGCGAACGGGUGAGUAACACGUGGGUGACCUGCCCUCAGCUCUGGGAUAAGCCUGGGAAACCGGGUCUAAUACUGGAUAUGACUCCAUGACGCAUGUUGUGGGGUGGAAAGCCUUGUGCGGCUGAGGAUGGGCCCGCGGCCUAUCAGCUUGUUGGUGGGGUGAGGCCUACCAAGGCGACGACGGGUAGCCGGCCUGAGAGGGCGACCGGCCACACUGGGACUGAGACACGGCCCAGACUCCUACGGGAGGCAGCAGUGGGGAAUCUUGCGCAAUGGGCGAAAGCCUGACGCAGCGACGCCGCGUGAGGGAUGACGGCCUGGUUGUAACUAC